rnacentral:tRNA from 2 species
CAAAUUAGAGCUUGUUUAGAAAAGUAAUUUAUUUACAUUAAAUAGUUGUUGUGCAAAUCAAUAUAAUUUGA